GAUGAACGCUGGCGGCGUGCCUAAGAAAGGAAAGUAGAGAGAACGGACGAGAAGCUUGCUUCUCUGAUGUUAGCGGCGGACGGGUGAGUAACACGUGGAUAACCUACCUAUAAGACUGGGAUAACUUCGGGAAACCGGAGCUAAUACCGGAUAAUAUUUUGAACCGCAUGGUUCAAAAGUGAAAGACGGUCUUGCUGUCACUUAUAGAUGGAUCCGCGCUGCAUUAGCUAGUUGGUAAGGUAACGGCUUACCAAGGCAACGAUGCAUAGCCGACCUGAGAGGGUGAUCGGCCACACUGGAACUGAGACACGGUCCAGACUCCUACGGGAGGCAGCAGUAGGGAAUCUUCCGCAAUGGGCGAAAGCCUGACGGAGCAACGCCGCGUGAGUGAUGAAGGUCUUCGGAUCGUAAAACUCUGUUAUUAGGGAAGAACAUAUGUGUAAGUAACUGUGCACAUCUUGACGGUACCUAAUCAGAAAGCCACGGCUAACUACGUA
rnacentral:rRNA from 1 species